AAUAAAUUAAGAAAUGCAGAAAAAAGAGCAUUUAAAACUAAACACUUGGGCUUAAAGGGAGACACUAGCCAAAGGCAAGUGAAAAGAGGUGGGUCUUUAAAGGGGACUUAAAAACAGAGACUGAGCUGAACGGAUGUGGAGGGGGAGGCAGUUCCAGAGUCUAGGGGCUGCCACUGAAAAGGCUCUGUCCCCCCUAGUUUUCAGCCUGGCCCUGGGUUCUUCCAGCCGCAGUUGGUCUGCUGACGGUAUAGUGCUCUGGAAGGGGAAUGGUGGUGUAGAAGAUCAGACAGGUAGGUGGGGGCCAGACCAUGGAGAGAUUUGUACACAGACAAGAGGAGUUGGAAAUUGAUGCGGUAGCGGAUGGGGAGCCAGUGGAGUGAAGCCAGAACUGGGGUGAUAUGUUCACGUUUUUUAGUGCAGGUGAGGAGUCGGGCGGCUGAGUUCUGAAACAACUGUAGGCAGCGUAGCUGAUUGAUCGAUGCCAGUGUAGAGAGCAUUACAGUAGUCCAGUUGUGAUGUGAUGAAGGCAUGGAUGACUCUCUCAAGAUCGCUCUGGGGCAGAAACAUCGCCAAGAUCUUGUCCCCCGGACCAUGGGAAACCUUGGGUGUGGACGAUGUUCAGGGAUUGUCAAAGCAAGGACCAUCAAAUAACUGUGGGGUGUUUGUUUUGAUGUAUGCAAUGUACUGUAUAUAGUGAUGGGAACACAGUGUGAUUUCACUGAGGAACCUAUGAGGAAAAUAGGGCGCUGGUGGUGUCUUGUUCUUCUACAUAACUUUCCGAUGCCGUCUGACUACAGAAUCGAGAGGCGUCGAGAACAAAACUUACUCAACAAGGAUGAUAUGGAAGUACCCCCCACAAAGGCACAGUGUGAAGAUGUGAUUUACAUCAACCACAAAUAAGAACUUUGAGGAAGACAGCCCACUGACCCCUACCCAGGAUCUGGAUUUGCUCUUCCAUUUUUUUCUCCAUUAUGAAGAUUAUUAGAUUAUCAAAUCACUCUGUGUCUGAUGUCUAUUAGCCUCUGCAAUGCAUUGUGUGUUUUUAUACGCCUACAUUUAUGACAUUGAACCCAUAUUUCAUGUUGUCUAUGACAAUAAUUCCAAGACUGAAUGGAAUUAUUAGUUUAUUAUUGAAUUAUAAAUGAUAGGCUAGAAAGUCAAAAUGAAGAAUGGAAUUGUUAAAUAAAGAUGAUGUAGGCCUAA